GUGGGGAAUAUUGGACAAUGGGCGGAAGCCUGAUCCAGCAACGCCGCGUGAGGGAUGACGGCCUUCGGGUUGUAAACCUCUUUCAGCACAGACGAAGCGCAAGUGACGGUAUGUGCAGAAGAAGGACCGGCCAACUACGUGCCAGCAGCCGCGGUAAUACGUAGGGUCCGAGCGUUGUCCGGAAUUAUUGGGCGUAAAGGGCUCGUAGGCGGUCUGUCGCGUCGGGAGUGAAAACCAGGUGCUUAACACCUGGCCUGCUUUCGAUACGGGCAGACUAGAGGUACUCAGGGGAGAAUGGAAUUCCUGGUGUAGCGGUGAAAUGCGCAGAUAUCAGGAGGAACACCGGUGGCGAAGGCGGUUCUCUGGGAGUAUCCUGACGCUGAGGAGCGAAAGUGUGGGGAGCGAACAGGAUUAGAAACCCCUGUAGUCC
rnacentral:rRNA from 1 species